AGCAGUGAGCUCAAAGGUGAAUUGUCUCCAUGAGUCCGAAGCUAUGAACCAGGUGUAAAGCAACAUGGCCAACCAGCAGAACGGGAACAACCACUCCCUGCUGUCAGCGUGACACACGAUGGGAUCGCACACAACAGUGGCGGCAUCUACUGAGGCGCUUGCCCACUUUCUACGGGCUGGAUGGCACAUCCUCUGCUGAAGCCGUUGCCUCUCCCAGGGCACGAGCACACCCAGGAAACAAGAACUGUGCAGAGUCAAGGUCUGAUUUCUUUGUUGAUGUCUUGUAACCAGAAAACAGAAAUUAGAUCCUUGCCCAGAUCUGUCUACCAUGGAGUUUUUAGUGCCAGCAAGUGCUUUGCAGUGGAGAACAAACAAAUUAACUUCUUCGCAUAUCACGAACUGUCAACCCCAAAGUCAGGGUAAAACUUUCAUAGCCGCAUACACCUGUGGUGACAUAACUUGCCACUCUCAGACGUUAGCAGAAAAAAAAAAAAUUUUUUUUGCUUGUAUUUUUCAAUAUUUCUAAAAUGAGUCUUGCUACUGGCAUAAGGUUUUGGAAACAAUGAUAAUGAAUUACACCAUUUCCAGAAGAGGAACUGGAGUCCAGAAAGAGGAAGGGAGUUAACUGCUUUAGGUCACCUGGGAAUUGAGAGCUUUGCCCAACCUACCCAGGCAGAGUAGCAUCCAGAAUUCUGGUUUGGCAGUGGUUGGCCAACAGCACACAGCACUGUAGUUGAAUUUCUCAGUCCCAUUGAGCAAAUCUUCUUACCCCGAACCAGAUCACAAAUGGCAGGAAGUGAACCUCACCUCACUGGAGCACAUUGCAAGAGUGGGCGCGGUCUGCGAGCAGAGCCUUGAACCCCUAAGUCUUCAAGUUCUCUGAACUAACCCCCCAGCUUGCUAGCCAGUCCUGUUCCCUCCAAAGCAAGCUACCCACUUUCUUGCAGGCCCCUGUCUGCUGGCAGAGUUGUCAUGGUCCAUUGUUCCUGGGUUGUCCCAGAUAGUUACAAAAGCAUCAUCGGAAGAUAAAAUAGCUGUGCAUCAGAAGACGAAUGCUGUAACAAGGAUCCCUUUAUUAAACACUUCAGACACAGCAUGCCUCUCUGAGCUGACAGCAGCACGAAGAGGAGGCUGCCCAACAGAGGCAGCUGAGGCGCAGCCUGUGAGAAACAAUUCUGAUUUAAUACCAGCAGGAGCCUCUCUCCAGCAGCAAGAGUGCCUAGGGCAGGGCAAUUAAAGACAUCCAUUCAUCCAUCACCACUGGGGUGAACCUACACUGCUGGAACCUCUGUGUGCCUAUUUAAGUGCUCUCCUUACAGAGCACUGUGGAGGGGAAUCAGAACUUCUGUUGAAAAUACCAGUCCUAACGUUCUACCCAAGGGGACCCCGUGUCAUAGUCCUUAUUCCAGUGGUGGCUUCCUCAAGCCUGAAAGAGGCUGCUCUCUUGAUUCUUGGGGCCAGGCAGACUGUGUCCUGGGAGCUCCUAGACAUGAGGCAAGCUUGCUGUGAAGAGUCUGAACUCUCAGCCAUCAGUGCCAUGAAAGGUGAUGGGGGAAAGGCAGCAAACCAUGGAAGCCUGAGACCAAUUCACAUCCUAUCUUUUAGACUCGGGGCACACUCUAGCUCUGAGGUGCUAAGUACAAGCUUAUCAUGUUGAGAUUGUGAAUAUGCAGCAAGUUAACUCUCUCUGUGUGUGUGUGUGUGUGCGAUGUAGUGUUUGUGUAUCUGGGUGGUAUGUGUUUGGGUAUGCUCAUGUUUGUAUGUGUGGCAUGUUUGGGAGUUUGUGCCAUGUAUAAGUGGCUUGUGUGCGCUUCUGUAGUGUAUUCGUGUUGUAUGUUUACUGGUGUGGCAUGGAACGUGUGGGUGUUGUGACUCAGUGUGGUGGGUACUUGAGGGUGUGACUGGGCUCUGAAUGAUGAACUGAAGCAAAACAAUUAAGAGCGGAAGAAAGCAAAGUGAGCAACGUCGGGGACAGGGGGGCAAACAUCGAACGCCUUUCAGUAUCCUGUUAAUUUAUACCACGGCUCUGUACAAAAAUAAAAAGGUUCUCAUAAGAUUAUCUAUUUAAAUAAAUAUUCAAU
ensembl:antisense Gm4524 predicted gene 4524